ACGGAAGGCAGCAGUGGGGAAUAUUGGGCAAUGGGCGAAAGCCUGACCCAGCGACGCCGCGUGAGGGAAGACGGUCUUCGGAUUGUAAACCUCUUUCAGCAGGGAAGAUAAUGACGGUACCUGCAGAAGAAGCCACGGCUAACUACGUGCCAGCAGCCGCGGUAAUACGUAGGUGGCAAGCGUUAUCCGGAUUUAUUGGGUGUAAAGGGUGUGUAGGCGGGACUGCAAGUCAGAAGUGAAAAUUAUGGGCUCAACCCAUAACCUGCUUUUGAAACUGUGGUUCUUGAGAGUGGGAGAGGUAAACGGAAUUCCUGGUGUAGCGGUGAAAUGCGUAGAUAUCAGGAGGAACACCGGUGGCGAAGGCGGUUUACUGGACGACAACUGACGCUGAGACACGAAAGCGUGGGGAGCAAACAGGAUUAGAUACCCUGGUA
rnacentral:rRNA from 1 species